CCGUGGAGCUGCCACCAGGGGAGGCGCUCCUGUCUCAUAGUGACCCUGAGUCCUAGGCAACCACAAGGUUGCCACCACAAGGCCACCACAGCAGCUGCCUGGUGCAUUUCCAUGCUGGCGAACAGAGAAGCAAAUGCAGACCCCCGUGGCCACGUCACUCCUUGCUCACCCUGCUCAAAUACCUGAGCCACGCAACUGGGACCAGGGCUCCAGGAAGGACUGGGCCCUCUGCUCAAGUCCCUCCACCCCUGUAUGGCAAAGCUGACACAUGAAGGGUGGCAACUGGGCUCCAUGCUCCUGCACUCCAGGCGGGCUUCGGCAGACAUUCGAGGGGAAGCCCUGAGACAGGGUGUCCUCACCAGGAAAUGCACUAAAAAAAAAAAAAAACUCCCUGGGGUCUUCAGACACAGCGACCCUGUGACUUGGGCUCUGGGCCGAGCUUUGCACCUGUGAGCGGCGCUUCCUCCUGCAGACUCCGCCCUGCAGGAAGCAGCAGCAGGAGCAGGCAGCGGAUCUCAGCUUCACACAGGGAAACGGUUUGCAGGUUUGCACUGCGACACAGCCACCGGGUGGGUGACUGACGGACAGCAGAACACAGACCCCAGAUCGCCCAUCCCGAAGACACCCAAGCCCCGUAAAUACAUCAGGCUCCGGUCAUAAGGAGCCCCCCUCCCUUGAGGGCCCACACUCUAUUUCUUUGAGCGUGUACUUUACAUUUCUGCCUAAUAAAUCCCUUUAUGCUGCUUACUGAUGCUUCUGAAAAUUCCUUUUUUGCAACAAGUCAGUGAACCUGCAACUUAAUUUUGUGAGUAGAAUGGGUUAAAGAACCCCCAGGACCCUGUCCAGUGACACUCAUCCCACUGCCCAGUGCUCCCAGAUCCCACUCAGUGGGUUCACAGCUGUCAGGACCAGCAGUCUAUCUUGGGGGACCC
rnacentral:lncRNA from 1 species